rnacentral:rRNA from 1 species
UACGGAGGGGGCUAGCGUUGUUCGGAAUUACUGGGCGUAAAGCGCGCGUAGGCGGACCUGCAAGUCGGGGGUGAAAGCCCGAGGCUCAACCUCGGAACUGCCUUCGAUACUGCGGGUCUCGAGUCCGGGAGAGGUGAGUGGAAUUCCUAGUGUAGCGGUGAAAUGCGCAGAUAUCGGGAGGAACACCUAUGGCGAAGGCAGCUCGCUGGGACGUUACUGACGCUGAGACGCGAAAGCGUGGGGAGCAAACAGG